UUAGAGGUUGGGGGUAGGGUUGUGAUAUGAGCUACACCACCACCCACCCACAAUUAUGUAGGAGCAAAGUAACUUCAUUCCAAGAACUUUCUAAUUCAUUUUUUAAAAAAUAAUACAUCUUAACCUAGAAAGAAAUGAUUCUAUACUCAAAAUAUAUAUUCAAAAUGGAUUUUAGCAGUUGGGUAGCUACCCAUAUUAAAUUCUUUCUCUUCUCCACUGAAUUAUAGAGCUAUCUCUCCAAGACAGGGUUGACUACACCAUCCAGGUUAGCCUCAAACUUGCUACUUGGCUCAGGCCUUGAACUUGAGAUUCUCCUGGCUUAGCCUCUCGUCUUGGAUUACAGGCUAUACCGGCAGGCCCAGCUCUGCUUGCUUUUACAUUACUGAAUUUUCUGCAAUGACUGGAUCCUAAGCACCUCCUUGGCUUCACUGCUGCGGCCUCCCUGACAGCCUUCACCUCCACCCUAUGAAUGGAAUCUCCUGAGUGACCGGCUUAAGGCUAAUUAACAAUGAUUCGGCAGUUUUGCAUACUUAAAAAAAUCAUGGACUGAAAAUAAAAAUAUCAAAAAGCUCCUGAAAGAAAUUCAAAAUACCUGAGAACAAGAGAAGUGGUUUGCCCUGCCAUCUGCCAUUCUCUUUCCUGUCUUGACCAACUUGACUACCACAGGAACUUCAAAUAUGUGGAUUUUCCAACAGUGUUUGUCCUGUGGAGGGCUUAUUUCUCUUAGCAUACCAUCUUUACUCCAACCAUGUACAACUGGAUUUACUUCUUCCUUCAAGCUAAAUAAUUUCAUCAUAUGUAUAUUAACACAUUUCCUUUCUUCAUUUGUCUCUUGAGAUAUGAGCGCCAUGUUCAGUUUGAAAAUUUUCUUAAUUUAUUAACCUAUCUCCACGGACAAUUCCAUUGUCUCUGCCUCUUGACCAUCAAGAAUGUCGCAAUAAACACGGGUGU